GAUAGUAAUACACAGUAGUAGCACAGAGAGGUAGCGAGGGUCUAAUGCGGGCAAAACCCUGCAGACUUGUAUUUACUACAUAAAUACAUGAUACAUACAGAACCUUACACCAAUGACCAGGUGGCUACACGAGAAGAAUGUGAGUGUGACCGCGGGCUUAAUAAAUAAAAACAACAACACAACUGAUCUAUAGAGCACCUUACUCGACCAUCAACGGCAGCUCCACGUGCUUUACAAACAGAAAACACAGAAGGCAUUAGAAGCAAAGAGUUGACUAACAGCUGAUAGUGUGGCCACUCAUUUUGACAAGAGGACGAUUGCCGGCAAAAUAUAAACAGCUUUGCUGAGGCAGGAUGUCAGUAAAGGACCCAGAGUGACUGCUAACAGAGCCUACAAUGACAGCCGCCAUCUUGUCACCGGGAGGUACACCAGUCAGGUCCACACAACAGCCACAGGACGCCAUGGGGCAGCUUUGUAUUCCUCUAUUCCUCGCAUCGCAACCCCGUGCAGUGAAUGUCACACCCACACACACAUUCAGGUGCAUUCUCAAAGUAACCUGCCAACCGCUGUGUCUCCAGGUGUCACGUGACAUGUGAAGGGCGUGUCUACAGGACUGAAGUCUCUUCAACAACAGCAGCGCUCGUGACGACACAGUGUGGCGGUUGUUCAGGGUGAAUGAUUAUUUACUUUGCACUGUGCAUCCUAAUCAGUGGAGUGGCACACCGCAUGACAACUUAAUAUCGUGUGACAGUGAGGACAGGUGUGACAAAUAAACACACUGUUCACACUGAACACACUAUUCAUCCUGAUAUGAGUACAGACUUACAACUUACUUCUGCAUCAGCGAACUGUUAGGACGAAGGCGACAUGCGAAAAAGUAGAAAUGUGUUUCAUUAUUUACAUAAUAUGUCUUAUUCAGUGUACCUGCUACACGACACACAUUUCCAACAUAAACAGAAGAAAUGAGUUCCACACAAUGGAGUCACUCCUGCCCUUGUCCAUCACAUACUUAUUCCUCCCGUGGGGUAGCAAUGCCAUUGAACAAUAGCUUUGAAUUCUCAACUAAAAUAUUUUACAGAGAUAAUGGAGAAAUUAUGUGAUGGCCGUGAUACAAACAUUAGCGAAAGAGUUUUAAUUUCUAGUGUAUACGGACCGAAUAAGGACAACCCACAGUUUUACUCACAGUCAGUAGAAUGUGUUGACAGAUAGAGUAGACAAUAUUGUGAUUGGAGGAGAUUGGAAUAUUGUUUUGAACUUUCAACUUGACUGUAAUAAUUACAAACAUAACAACAAUACUAAAGGGCAAGAAGAAGUUGAUCAGAUAAUGACAAACGUUUAUCUAGUAGAUAUAUGGCAUGAGCUCAACACACAAGCACUGAAAUACACUUGGUGUAGGUAAAGACCAUUCCAACAAAGUAGAUGAGACUUGUUCCUGAUGUCACAUUUACUCUCAAAGCUGGUGAUGGAUGCAAACAUUACUGCCGGCUACCGUAUGGACCCUUUGUUGAUUGCUUUGUCAUUAACUACAGAACGAGAGGACAGGAGAUGGAGGCUAAGCUCCUCCCAUUGGAAGGACAAAGACUAACUCCACUAAAUACUGACAUUAAAGGAGUGACAGAAGAGUACUCGGCCUUCCCAUAUGACAGAUAAUUUAGGGAAAAUUCCCCCCUUGGAAAUACAGCUUGUAGUAUCUGAUCAGACAUUUCUAGACACAAUGCUAAUGAAAAUUAGAAUAACCUGCUUUAGCAGGAACAAGAAAGAAAGAAAAAGAAAAAUAUUAGAGCGAGCACUUAUACAGUUAGAAAGUAAAAAUAGGUUAAACGAAAAAGAAAUUCUUCAGCCUGAAAAAAGAAUGGAGGGUGCACUGAUUCACUCCAGGGCAAAGUGGACAGCAGACGGACAAUGACAAUUCUUUACAAGAGCUAGGAAGGAGACUGCGGUUUUCCUUUAGGGGAGCGGGGAGAAAGGACAGUCCCCUCUGUGUUGUUAGUGCCUCUCGGACAAGAAGGUUUUCUUUUGUUAGAAGUCUUGAACGGACUUGGUGUUGUACUCCUGGGUACACAUCCUGAACACACUUGGAAGUUACCAGAUUUGUUUGUAUCUUUGUGUAACAUUGAACCUGUUGAGAGGAAGGACGCCCAGAGAGGAGAAGUCACGUGGGUCUAUUGUCGGCUUUGACAGCUCGCCUCUCGACACGUGCUCGAGGUUUGAUGGAAGCUUCACUAGUGGAGUCCCAGAGGGUGGAUGAGUAGUCAAUGACUGACUGCAUGUGGGUGGUAUAGAAGAGUUUUCUUGUGUGUGGGGGUCCAGGAAAUGUUUAAUUCUUGACAGCUGGUAGACUUUCUUGGAAAUGUUUUUACUUGUGGUUGAGAUGUGUGGACCACGAUAACUUAUUGUCAAUGGUAACAUCCAUGAGUUUGUGGAACUGUACUUCCGUUAUUGCUUGAGCGCUGAUUUGGAUAUUAGGAAAUGGGGUGGCUAGGUUUUCUUUUUUGUGUCUGGUUGUUAAAAGCAUGACUUCAGUUUUCUGGGGGUUGAGGGAAAUGAGGUUGGAAUCAGUUCAAGCCUGAAGCUCGUCAGCGCUCAGCUGUAGGAGGGAAGCAAGUGGCUCAGUCUGUUGGUGGUGAGCGUGUAUUGUGGUGUCGUCUGCAAACAUUUCACAAGAUUGGGAUAUGUGGAGAGCAAGAUCGUUUAUGUAGUUUGUGUAGUUUGUUGUCUUGUGACUUGUCGUUUGAGACUACCCUAGUAGCGAUCCCUGCAAAAUGUGCGGUCAAUGUGUUAGAGGGAAUUGUCAUUGCAAUACCGGUUUUUCUAGACUUGUUGGUUAGAUGGCUGAUGGCUUUCCACAUCAGUUUGGUGUUCUUUGUGCAUUCUACGAGGUUGCUAAAGUAGUUUUUCAUCUUGCCUCGUUUCAUAGCGGUGACAAUAUUUCUUUGCUUUUUGAAUUCAGCUUCUUGAUUUGUCUUUUUAAGUGUGUCUCUUUCAUGAACCGCGGCCUGGAGCUCUAGGUCGAACCAAGCGGGUUCAAUGUUGUGUUUAAUGCACUUGGUCCACAGUGGCACAUGCUUAUUCUAUGUUGUUAGAAACCGGUUGUGCCAGUGGGUGAUGGCGUCCUGUGGGUCUGUGAUAUCCUAUAUUUUAUCUAGGGGGUGACGAUGGGGAAAGAACUAGAAACUAUAUUUUACAAAUCUGAGAAGUGGGUUCACUUAGAUCACGUGACCGCGCGCUCUCUUUCUCUCGGUGUGUGUGCCAGGGACCAGUGGGAGUACACACCUUAUCCUUCCUUUUCUGUCUUUUUGACAAAAACAGGUUGUUGUGCGAGCUUUUCCACACAGAAGACAUCCCAAGACAUGAACUCUGGGAGAGGGAGCUGCCACUAUAAAUAGGGUGAAGCCCACGAGACAUGUUCACACCCAGCAGAGCUUCCCAAGAGAUUUUCUGAACGUUCACAGUUGUCCGCCAGACGGUCGAGUUGUCUCAUCAUGCGCCGCCUGCUGAUACUCGUGGCAAUGGUGCUCCUCAUCUCCGGCACCUGCAUCACUGCUCUACAGGCUCGGGGCGAAAUAAAGGACAUGGGUAGAGCUCCAUCUAAGGCCGUCAGUAAGGCUACUAAGAUCCGUACGGUCCCCGGUGCGCCCGACAGGAGUAUCGACACUGGGGAAAAAGUGAUCGUAAAUCCGUAGCUCGGUACCACUCAUCACAAAGCCAGUGUGGUCCCUACUACAGGAUCAGCAACUACUACAAAUCCAGCAACAAUGCUUUCAGCAGCCGCUGUCUCCCA